UACGUAGGUCGCAAGCGUUGUCCGGAUUUACUGGGCGUAAAGAGCGCGCAGGCGGUCGUUCAAGUCGCGUGUGAAAGCCCCCGGCUCAACUGGGGAGGGUCACGCGAUACUGAUCGACUGGAAGGCAGGAGAGGGUAGUGGAAUUCCCGGUGUAGUGGUGAAAUGCGUAGAUAUCGGGAGGAACACCAGUGGCGAAGGCGACUACCUGGCCUGUUCUUGACGCUGAGGCGCGAAAGCUAGGGGAGCAAACGGG
rnacentral:rRNA from 1 species